AUACCAUCGAGAUCAUAUAUGUGUGUCCCCAAGGCCCAAAGUGGCAUUCUUUUCAGCUAAUUCAUUCGAUUCCAUUGUACGGCUGUACAGCUGUUUCAUGAUCGCAUCAUGGUGGGGGUUGAAGAUACCUGGUUGCAUUUGCUUCGUUGUUGCAAAUCUGACGAGUUAUCACACCCUGGAUCAUCAACAGCUUGGAGACUGUACACACACUUGCGCUUCAUGAAUCAGCUCCUCAUGUUUAUCAUGCAAUUUGUAAAGGCUUUUCUGACGCAUGAUAUUGCUGAUGUUGAAAGAGAAGUUAUGAUGCCUUUGGAAAAGCUAAUACCUUGGAGAGAUGACAUAUCAAAAAUACUUGAGCAGCAUGUUCAGGGACUAACAAGAAGACUGUCAAUAGCUCCGUAUGCUAUGCAAAAUCAGUCAGGAGCAUUCAUGAAUUCAGUUAAAACAAUUGUAGAUGUGUUACACUGCCGAAUUUAGGAUAUUCUGGAAUCAUGCGCAUCGUAUCUAACCAUAGCAAGUGGGACCACGGUUAUAGCCGGUAAUGAUGCGUAUGGGGAGCCGAGGGUGAUCAAGGCGCAAAUUACGAUGGGACAUGGGAAACUCCAAGGCGAUGCAUACAGCUGAAGAACAAGCGUACUGCUCCUCCAGAAGAUGCAAUAAUGACUGGACAAGUUCAAUGUUGCGCGCAUGGUAAUGAUGUGUGCUCACUUCUCGGGAGUGUCUCCUGGAGAUUUUACAUUUUUGGAGCGGGUGUGGUAUGUACCGAUGAAGCCUUAUUGUUUUUUUGGUAACAUCUUUCGCUGCUGGUAUAGAAUUCCAUGGCCAAAUAUCUUCUUAAUUAUAGAGUGUAGAAAAGUACUUCUGAUGAUUAGAUUGUAAAAAACAAAUUAACUGAGUAUUCAUUGUUCUGGUUUACAACAGUAAUGUGUCAAUUGCUUUGUUAUUGCUUGAAUUGGCAUCUCAUAAUCCUAUACUCAAUUUCUUUAAUUGGUAUCUCAUAAUCGUACACUCGAUUGCAAAACCAUAUGAACUGACACCUAGAGGAAACUCUUGCAUGCAAAGGGUCACAAAGACUCGAAUCUUCUAGGUUUACUUAAUUGCUAGAUCAAAAUCGUCAUCUGGUGCCUUCACAAUCAUCCGAGUCAUGACUUUAAUCUUAGAAAUCCUCUUCACCGCCUCACUGGGCUAUCUAUGGGUUGUGCGUCAAUGAAGCAAUUGUUCUUAUGCACACACACAUAUAUAGCCACUAUUGUCUUAACACAAUGGCCAGGUAAAUGCAUAGUGACAGUUCUAGAUGAUUCAUUAGUUUAUUUACGUACGAAUAUAUCGAAAGCAGUGAGUUGACAUUCAAUAUCAUUAUAUCUCAUUUUUCUCUAUUCUAACAUAGAGUAUUUAAAAUUUAUCUAUCCAUCAACAAUUUAGAGCCUAUUCAAUAAAUGAUUUAUGUGUAAACUGUCAGUACAUCACGAUUUUCCAGUAGCUUGAAUGCUAAUAUUUGCAAUUGUAUACUUCGCAAAUAUGUGCAUCUCCUUGCAGCUUUUGAGGAUAUUGCUGUGGAGCUUUAAAAGGCAGGGGAAAGUGAGGGGCUUAGCAGGCAUCACAGGCAUACGCCCACUUUUGGUUGCUAUUGCAUUAUAUUGGAUGUAUAGAUCUUGGUUGCUGAGGUGAGGUCUCCUGACAGUUAAUUUCUUAUGUUCUCUUGCUGGCACUAUUGGCAUGUACUUAUAUUUAUUCCAGUUUCAUAUGAGUAGUAUGAGUAUGUUCUUUUGUUUGUUCUUAAGUUCUCUUAUUUUCUGUUGUAUCACUUACUUUCUAUAAAUAUAAAAGGAUGCGCACUUCUGGUUUACACAACGACUAUGAAGAAGCAAAUGACUGAAUAUCAUGCCCUGCAAUUUUGAUUUUGAGAACUUAUAUGUGAUUGUGCACUGGUCCAGGUCUCCUUAGGCAAAUACAACAAAUCUUAAGUUGUCCAAUUUCCUUAAUUGAAUUUAAUGUUCCAUGAGUUCUGUUGAAUGUACUCUUCAUCUGAUAUUAGGACUCAACAUUUUGGUUUUCUAAUACCUCUCAAAAUAGUCAUUGGUAAAAGAAGUUCAUACAACAAUUGUAUGUUCUCUUGCAUUUUGUUUUCAAAGUACUGGGGAACAUAGUAACUACUGAUGGUUUAGCAUAUCAAAUUGCAGUACUUAAUUAUGUUCCAUACCCAAUGGCAUCCAUUUCCCAAAAAGGCAUAUAACUUGCAUGUAGUUCACAUAUUUCACAUUAGAUAUUCGGUCACUUCUCCCUCUUGGUAUCUAGAUUUUAUAAAAUGAAAAUUUAUGAGACAUUGAUCUAUAUGACACCUUAUCUUUAGGUUCAUCAACCAUGGAAAAAAUAAAAUAAACCGCCUUCCGUGCAUUUUUAAAAGGUUUUGAAAAUCGAUGCAUUUAUAUAUACCUACUCUAUUUUUUUUUUUUAGAUGAAUAUAGCAAUCAAAAACCUCAGUUGCUUAGACUAUACUAUUAUAUUUCUGUUUACAUGUGUGCCGUGAUACCCAACUGUAGUUUGGUAGGUAGGUGCAAGAUUCACCAAUGCAGAGUGUUGGAGAGAGAAGGGUGAUUAUGGAUGCAGAAGCCUGAAGCUCUAUGGAGCAGCACCAACGUCCUAAGCUUUCAUGUUUGUAACCAACAAUUGUUGUAAAACAAUGAUUAAUCUGAUGUUCAAUAGAGUUCUGUUCACCAUGUA